ensembl:lncRNA
GUUCAGUGGAGAGUUACUUCUGUGAAACAGUAAGAAAAUACGAGACAUCCAUGCUUUUGUCUGUCUGUUUUGGUUAUUGUAUUUUUUUUUAGGCUUGAGCAUGGGGGAGGAGUAGUCAAGGAUGGCCUUUGUGAGCCUCUGCUGUGCCCUACUGCUAUCCUGUAGGCAGAGCUACAGUGCAGGGCCAUUACAGCUUCAUUCCCAUGAGUCCUGGCAAUGGGGAAUCAAUGUCAGUGAUCCCAGAGAUCGCUCUCAAGACCAGGAAUCCAUCAGACUCCAGGGGCAAGCAUGGAGGCUGAAUGCUGCUGGGUGCAGAUGGGGAGCAAUGCAGGAUUUGAGCGUGGACUGCACAGAGUUCCUCCCAAGAGAAGAGGAAUGAGGCAGGCAGAUGGGAAACACAGGACCUGUCAGAAUAUUAAUGCAGACCCUGUUGACUGAGAGACUUGGACCAGGCUUGAGCAUGGGGGAGGAGUAGUCAAGGAUGGCCUUUGUGAGCCUCUGCUGUGCCCUACUGCUAUCCUGUAGGCAGAGCUACAGUGCAGGACCAUUACAGCUUCAUUCCCAUGAGUCCUGGCAAUGGGGAAUCAAUGCCAGAUGUGAUCCCAGAGAUCGCUCUCAAGACCAGGAAUCCAUCAGACUCCAGGGGCAAGCAUGGAGGCUGAAUGCUGCUGGGUGCAGAUGGGGAGCAAUGCAGGAUUUGAGCGUGGACUGCACAGAGUUCCUCCCAAGAGAAGAGGAAUGAGGCAGGAAUUUCCUUAUUUCCUGAAUCUAUGCACAAACAUUUUUAAAAUGACCGGUUCAACAGUUAAUGAAGACAGACUCUAGAAGCCAUGCAGUGAAAGUGAUUGCUCGUCUGCUUGUUCUCAGCUCCUGGUCCAGCAGCUCGCCUGCCUGCUCGCUUCCAUGCUUCUCGCAACAUUGGACAUCAAUUUACUACUGGAAAGUGUUAAUAAGCCUCCAAUGAAUUGCUUCCUAGUGGCCCUUCACAAGAAUAGGAGAAUAAUAAGACACUGUCACUUAUCUCAUUGGAAUUUAUAGGCAGUGCAAUGUUUAUUUCUCCCCCUUCGAUUAUGAGCAUUCAAAAUUACUACUUAGAUUCUCCUUAUAUGAUGCUAGUCAACCACCCACUGCCCACACGAGGCCUGUUAUGUCCUUCGGGAUAUGGUGCCCAAGGAAUAAGUGAAUUUGUCUGAGAGUAGGGUUUCUGGUACCUGGAUUUGCUCUAAUGCAGACACGGAGGUUCCAUACAGCAUUUUCUUUCUUCUUUCUAGAAAUGGAUCCUAAGAGCACAAGAUAAUCAUAAAUAUCACAAGAACCCUUUGGAGGUUGAAUGCUGACUUUAUCCAAAGAGAAGAUGCAUGAGGUGCCUCAGGUGAAGCCAAACUAAAGCUCAAAUUUAGAAGGGAUCAUUGGAUGCUUUUCCUAAAACAGCAAAGGUCUUUAAAGCACAGAACUGCCAACAAUUCAACACAGAGUAUGAAAAAUGGCGGCGAAGUACAGUGUCGAAUGUCUUCAGAGAGGAUGGACAAGGACGGGAGUGAUCCCUGAGAUCGCUCUCAAGACCAGGAAUCCAUCAGACUUCAGGGCCAAGCAGGGAGGCAGAAUGCUGCUGGGGGCAGAUGGGGAGCAAUGCAGGAUUUGAGCGUGGACUGCACAGAGUUCCUCCCAAGAGAAGAGGAAUGAGGCAGGCAGGACCUCUCAGAAUACGCAGACUGUUUUCACUGAGGGACUUGGACCAGAUAAGAUGGGUGGAAGAGGAGGGCACCACAAUGGCUCCUCGUAGAGCUCUACUGCCCCCAUGAGGACACAGUUUCAUCAGACAUGUUACCUCCAGUUUCCUUCCCAUGACAGCCCUGGCCUUUAGUGUUCUAGAAGAGAUUGGGCAUUAUUUUCUUUCUACAACCUGGAGAACUGAACCCUAACUGUACAUUAGUGUAGAACCUAGGGGGUGACACGAACUAUCAGCAGUGAAGCAAUUUAAUAGCAUACAUGUUUACUGUAGGUGCGAGUGUACCCCUGUAGUAUGCUUGCCAAGGUCUGAGAACAAUUUGUAAGUGUUAGUUAUCUCCUUUAAAGAGGGUGCUGGAGAUGGAACAGAGGUCCUCAGGCAUACAUGCAACCCCAGUAUCACAAACGGUUAUCCUCCCACAACCUGAGGACACUGCAGAAAUUCAUAAGUACAGAAAUGAGUAAAAAAGCACUUGGAUUCAGGAUUUACUAGACAUGCCCUCAGAAUUCACAUGCUUUCUUUCUACUUUUUAUUCACCUACUGGACAAGUAUCACCAAGUAAAUCAAGCCUGAAUGCACAGGGCUCUGAGGGAAUUUAUCUAGACAAAGGAGAGGUGUUUUCAUGAAGAAGGGUGGUGGUUUGCAAUCUUUGGUUUGAAUUGCAAAUGCAAAAGUAAAAUGGCUGCCUUGUACAACUAGAAUCUGCACAGAAGAGGAAGCAGGCAUUUUUCUUGUCCUUUUUUUCAG